UUCAGCCAUUGAAAUCAAGGCUGAACGGACAUACAGUAUGCCUGUUUACCCUCAUACUCUCACUCAGGAUGUAAAGAAAUGAAACCAUUAAGGAAGUAAUGUUAACUGGCACCAGUGUAAGCAAUUUCCUGUUAUUUCUUUGACCCUGGUGCUGAAAUGGAACGACUGAAAUAUUGAUGUCAAGCUGCUGCAUCAGCAAUGCAUUCGAAACAAAACAGACUUUAUCUUAGAUUUAUCCCCAGUCUUGUUCUCUUCUUAAAUGACUAAAACAGAGAUAGAAACAGAAAACACACAGAGAGAGAAACUUGGACACAGAAUUGCUCACAUUAAAAUAUGAUCUGGUUGUCCAUUUCUAGAUUUGGAGUGAAAACAGAUGUGGAUCAAUAUAUUGGCUCCAUGGUUCUUAAAGUGACAGCAGCCUAAAUAAACCUGUAGUCAUCUGUUAGGGUUAAAUGUUUUAACCAAACUAAUUUUUUUUUCAUUUUACCAAUUGUUUACCUGUCUAUAUGCUUUUAUUUUCCUUUAAUCCAUUAAGUAUAUAGUUAUAUAUUCAUGGUCAGAUUUGUAUCUGCUGUUUGAAUGAGCUUCAUGAAUUUAUAUAUACAUACAUACAUACUGUGACAGGACGAGCCAACGACAGACACAGUGGGCGUGGCGUCAGGCCUCGGAGAGGUUUUUAUUUAACAGAAAAACCAAAACAAGGGGGAAUAAAGUGUCCAAAAGGGGAACAGUGUCCAAAACAACAGGGAAUCUGGUGGCGCUGGAGUCCCUCAACGCACCCUUCCUGGACCCACGAGGACACCAGUGUGCAUGCACGGGGAAGAGACCGGUCUCUCGAGGAGAGGCGCGUUGGGCUUUUAAACAGCAGCGGUGAUGAGGCUCCAUUCCUUCAGGUGUGCCCCAUCACACGCCGCCAGCCCUGACUCGUCCAGCGCCCCUCCUCUCUCCCACACCCACUCCUAUCGGGAGCCUGGUGAAGGGCGGCGAUUUAGGACGGGGUGCCGGUGAUUAUCAGGGAGGAGGCAGCUGACUCGUCACAACUGGGAGAAUUCAUACAUGGUUUUACGCCAGCACUGAGAGCCUGAAGUGCUAUGAAUGUGGAGACUUGGGCCAUAAACGUUUUGUAUGUCCACAUAAAGAUGACCAACGUGCAUCUACUUCUCGUGGGGAUGUAAAUGAUACCGAUCAGCAAAAGAGUGAAAGUGAAGAAUAGAGAACUGAAGAUUAGGAUGAAGGUCCUACAGAGGAGGGCAAGAUGCAGGAGGUGAGUGAGUGAGAUUAAUUUACGUGCUGUGAAGCAAGUUGGAUGUAGUUCUGUCCCUGAUAAACAUGGAGAUGUGACAGAUGAGAUUGAUAAAAGUGAGGCCCAGAGUGGUGUGGAAAAUGUGUGUGAAGUUAAGGAUGUGGCACAGGCUGAUAACUUAGAGGAAAAUAUGGUUGAUGAGAUAGAUAGUUUAUCCCAGUAUACGGAUGAUGAAUUAGGAGAUGAUGAACAGUGGACGGGGGCUCGAGAGGAACUGAUAAAGAUUUGUACACUGUUGAAGAAAUUAAUGCAUUUCUUGAUAAAACUAAAGGUAUAGCUGGUGUUGAAGUAAGUCAUUAUUUUCCUGAUACUGACAAAUUUACUGAUUCGGUGAUGUGGGCUAGGAAGGUGAGUAGUAUUGAUGAGCUCUCACAACAGAAGCGGUAUCGUCUAAAAAAACAUACUACUGUUCUUAGACAAGGCAAAAAGACGGAAAGUGAGGGGAAAAACUAAAUCUUAAUGGCUUUUAACGUUUCUUUGUCUUUCUGUUUUCUUCCUCUUCUUUUUCCUUUUGCUUAUGGAGAUCUUGCAGGUGGGAUCAAUUAAUGUAAAUGGAAUGAGGGAUGGGAGGAAAAUUAGGUUACUAUCAGAAAUAAUACGAUUUAAAGAGUUGAAAACAGCAGCAGGGUGGUGAUGUUAUUGUACUACUCUUACCAAUAAGUACUAUACAUCAAGUUUAUUUUACUAACUAUACUUAAGUAAAGUUCAAGUAUAUUUUUAAGUAGGGAUGCACGAUACUAAACUCUUGUACUCAUACUCGUACUUGUUAAAAUGCCCCGAUACCAAACGCCAAUACCACACAGCAUGUGAUAAUUGCCACACUUUCUAGUACAUAAAAGUAUACUUUAAGUAUAACAGUAGCAAACUUUGAGUACACAACUAGUUAACCUCUAUGUUUGUAGUUUGUACUGCAAUUAUAAAAUGUAACUUAUAUGUAUACUGAUAGUUUACUAAUUAAAUACUUUGAAGUAUAGUCUCAG
rnacentral:lncRNA from 1 species